UUUAAUCCCAGUAUUUGGUAGAUGCACUUAGGUACAUCUAUGUAUAGCUACAGCUAUGUAGUAAGAUUAUGUCUCAAACCAAAAACAAGAACAUAUUUGCAGCCAUUGCUUUGGUUCUCACUAUUCCUAAAGGACCUGGAACUCACUGAUGCUCACACCACCUUAGAACUUAUAUGGUGCCUGCCACUUAUCUAUUUAAUUAUUUUGUUUUUGAGUUUCAUAGAAGAAAGGUAUCUUGGAUCUAAAAGAGUAGUCGUUUGGGAAAGCUGUAUGGGGAUAGAUUUGAGAUGGAUUUGGCUUGCAUGCAGGGAAGCAAGUGCCGUGUGAUGUGUCAUCAGUCCCAGUUAUUGCAUCUU
rnacentral:lncRNA from 1 species